rnacentral:rRNA from 1 species
AUGCCUGUACCAUAACCGACACAGGUGGGUAGGUAGAGUAUACUAAGGGGCGCGAGAUAACUCUCUCUAAGGAACUCGGCAAAAUGACUCCGUAACUUCGGGAGAAGGAGUGCCUUAUUUAUAAGGUUGCAAUAACAAGAUCCAAGCAACUGUUUAUCAAAAACACAGGUCUCCGCUAAGUCGUAAGACGAUGUAUGGGGGCUGACGCCUGCCCAGUGCCAGAAGGUUAAAGAAGUUGGUUAGUGUAUGCGAAGCUGAUGACUGAAGCCCUGGUGAACGGCGGCCGUAACUAUAACGGUCCUAAGGUAGCGAAAUUCCUUGUCGGGUAAGUUCCGACCCGCACGAAAGGCGUAAUGAUUUGGAUACUGUCUCGGAGAGAGGCUCGGUGAAAUAGACUUGUCUGUGAAGAUGCGGACUACCUGCACCAGGACAGAAAGACCCUAUGAAGCUUUACUGUAACUUGAAAUUGGAAUUGGACUUUGCUUGCGCAGUAUAGGUGGGAAGCGUUGAAGAUAUUCUUGCGGGAGUAUUGGAGCUAUCAGUGAGAUACCACUCUUGUAAUGUUAGAUUUCUAACUUUGAACCAUAAUCUGGUCAAAGAACAGUUUCAGGUGGGCAGUUUGACUGGGGCGGUCGCCUCCCAAAUGGUAACGGAGGCGUACAAAGGUUUCCUCUGAACGGAUAGAAAUCGUAUCUAGAGUGUAAAGGCAUAAGGAAGCUUGACUGUGAGACCUACAAGUCGAGCAGGGACGAAAGUCGGUCUUAGUGAUCUGACGGUACUGAGUGGAAAGGCCGUCACUCAACGGAUAAAAGUUACUCUAGGAUAACAGGCUGAUCUCCCCCAAGAGUUCACAUCGACGGGGAGGUUUGGCACCUCGAUGUCGGCUCAUCGCAUCCUGGGGCGGUAGUACGUCCCAAGGGUUGGGCUGUUCGCCCAUGAAAGCGGUACGCGAGCUGGGUUCAGAACGUCGUGAGACAGUUCGGUCCAUAUCCGGUGUAGGCGUUAGAAUAUUGAGAGGAGCCUUCUUUAGUACGAGAGGACCGAGAAGGACACACCGCUGGUGUACCAGUUAUCGUGCCAACGGUAAACGCUGGGUAGCUAUGUGUGGAGUGGAUAACCGCUGUAAGCAUCUAAGUGGGAAGCCCACCUCAAGAUGAGUACUCUCACCAUAUUGGUUAAGGUCACGGGAAGAACACCCGUUGAUAGGCAUCAGGUGGAAGUGCAGUAAUGUAUGAAGCCGAAGUGUACUAACAGACCGAGGGCUU